GAGUUUGAUCCUGGCUCAGGAUGAACGCUAGCGGCAGGCCUAACACAUGCAAGUCGAACGGUAACAGGGAUUGCUUGCAAUCCGCUGACGAGUGGCGCACGGGUGCGUAACGCGUAUGCAAUCUGCCUCUAACUAAGGAAUAGCCCAGAGAAAUUUGGAUUAAUACCUUAUAACAUUGUGAUUUGGCAUCUUAUUACAAUUAAAACUCCGGUGGAUAGAGAUGAGCAUGCGUCCUAUUAGCUAGUUGGUAAGGUAAUGGCUUACCAAGGCAACGAUAGGUAGGGGGCCUGAAAGGGUGAUCCCCCACACUGGUACUGAGACACGGACCAGACUCCUACGGGAGGCAGCAGUGAGGAAUAUUGCGCAAUGGAGGAAACUCUGACGCAGCCAUGCCGCGUGCAGGAAGAAUGCCCUAUGGGUUGUAAACUGCUUUUAUACAGGAAGAAACUUUGAUACGUGUAUCGAACUGACGGUACUAUAUGAAUAAGCACCGGCUAACUCCGUGGCAGCAGCCGCGGUAAUACGGAGGGUGCAAGCGUUAUCCGGAUUUAUUAGGUUUAAAGGGUCCGCAGGCGGGAUUUUAAGUCAGUGGUGAAAGCCUACAGCUUAACUGUAGAAAUGCCAUUGAUACUGAUAUCCUUGAGUGUGGUUGAAGUGGGCGGAAUAUGUCAUGUAGCGGUGAAAUGCAUAGAUAUGACAUAGAACACCAAUUGCGAAGGCAGCUCACUAAGUCAUUACUGACGCUCAUGGACGAAAGCGUGGGGAGCGAACAGGAUUAGAUACCCUGGUAGUCCACGCCGUAAACGAUGAUCACUCGUUGCUGGCAAUAUACAGUCAGUGACCAAGCGAAAGUGUUAAGUGAUCCACCUGGGAAGUACGUUCGCAAGAAUGAAACUCAAAGGAAUUGACGGGGGCCCGCACAAGCGGUGGAGCAUGUGGUUUAAUUCGAUGAUACGCGAGGAACCUUACCAGGGCUUAAAUGCAGAACGACAGAUUUGGAAACAAAUCCUUCUUCGGACGGACUGCAAGGUGCUGCAUGGUUGUCGUCAGCUCGUGUCGUGAGAUGUUGGGUUAAGUCCCGCAACGAGCGCAACCCUUAUUUUUAGUUACUAACUUGUUAGGUUCUCUAGAAAGACUGCCGGUGACAAACCGGAGGAAGGUGAGGAUGACGUCAAGUCAGCAUGCCCCUUAUAUCCUGGGCUACACACGUGCUACAAUGGUUAAGACAAUGAGUCGCAAGCUCGCGAGAGUCUGCUAAUCUGGUAAACUUUGCCUAAGUUCAGAUUGUAGGCUGCAACUCGCCUACAUGAAGUUGGAAUCGCUAGUAAUCGCUGGUCAGCCACACAGCGGUGAAUCUGUUCCCAGGCCUUGUACACACCGCCCGUCACACCAUGGGAGUUGGUCAUACCCGAAACCGCUUACUUAACCGUUUGGAGAGAGGCGUCUACGGCAGGGCUAGCGACUGGGGUGAAGUCGUAACAAGGUAACC
rnacentral:rRNA from 1 species